AGAUAAAGGGGUCAUCCAGCUGAGACAUCUGUCUCCCCUUUGAUCACCAGCAUUGUUGAUCCAGCUGACCUGACUGCCUUGGCCAGUGUCCCCUUCUCCCUCAGGGCUCCCCACGUGUCCCUCCAGAAGGGGCGUCUUGCUGGGUCUAAGAGGACGACCCUCCCAAAAGGAGGAAGCCCAUUCCUCCCUCAGGGGCACAGAGGAGCUGCACUUCACUGCUGGAAGCUCCAAACAAGCUCUUGAGGUCCAUUUGUAAGCGAAGGUAGGCUAGUCAAGCUUCCAGAACACAACUAAAUGAGACGCUGCGUGUGGCAGUCUGCCUUUCUAA
rnacentral:snRNA from 1 species